UUCAUACAGUUGUGCUCGGGCUCAGGAAUUAUCCAGAUGAAAAUUGGAGUAGAAGUUCAAUUCCCUUCCUCCUUCUGUACACCAUAUCUGCAAAUCUACUGAGGAGUCCCAGACAUCUCCUCCCCAGGGAGCACUGUCCUGGUCUGUGGGGCUGACGCCUUGUUGUCUGGGUUCUCCCUGCCCUCCAAGGAGGGGCAGGAAGCCACAAGUCCAGGGUGACUGCUGCUGACACCAUGCUGGGUACUCAGAAACACCAGAUGGUGGCGCCACGUCAAGCUUUACAAAGAUCCUCACCAAACCUCAGACUCUGCCUCCUGAAUCCGUCACUCUCCUGUUCCAAAGAUAAAAUGAAAAGGAGAGAAAACAGCUUUGAGAUCACCAUGGCAGCCAUCUGGACACACCUGUCUCUAUUGGCAAGGGGUGGCUGACAAGGGGGAGAAUUUGAAAAACUGCAAACAUCUUGUUUUCAUUGACUUACAGCUAGUUGUCCAAAUAUUUGUAUCACUUGAGGUAUAUGCACAAAAGAAAGUCA